UUAAUUGAAGAGUUUGAUCAUGGCUCAGAUUGAACGCUGGCGGCAGGCCUAACACAUGCAAGUCGAGCGGCAGCACAGAGAAACUUGUUUCUCGGGUGGCGAGCGGCGGACGGGUGAGUAAUGCCUGGGAAAUUGCCCUGAUGUGGGGGAUAACCAUUGGAAACGAUGGCUAAUACCGCAUGAUGCCUACGGGCCAAAGAGGGGGACCUUCGGGCCUCUCGCGUCAGGAUAUGCCCAGGUGGGAUUAGCUAGUUGGUGAGGUAAGGGCUCACCAAGGCGACGAUCCCUAGCUGGUCUGAGAGGAUGAUCAGCCACACUGGAACUGAGACACGGUCCAGACUCCUACGGGAGGCAGCAGUGGGGAAUAUUGCACAAUGGGCGCAAGCCUGAUGCAGCCAUGCCGCGUGUGUGAAGAAGGCCUUCGGGUUGUAAAGCA
rnacentral:rRNA from 1 species